GACGUAGGGUGCGAGCGUUGUCCAGAUUUAUUGGGCGUAAAGAGCUCGUAGGCGGCUCGUCGCAUCGACCGUGAAAACCCGCGGCUUAACUGCGGGCUUGCGGUUGAUACGGGCGGGCUAGAGUUCGGUAGGGGAGACUGGAAUUCCUGGUGUAGCGGUGAAAUGCGCAGAUAUCAGGAGGAACACCGGUGGCGAAGGCGGGUCUCUGGGCCGAUACUGACGCUGAGGAGCGAAAGCGUGGGGAGCGAACAGG
rnacentral:rRNA from 1 species